CUGAGAAGGAGGCGGGGCUCCAACAGGAGCGCUGGUGGAGGAUUGCAUGCUGCACAUCUGUGGUGGCAGACGUCGUCAUGCCUGUAAAUAUGCCAUGGGUGCCUGUGAUGCAUCCAGACUUGUACUGGGUUCAUUUGGCCCUCAAUAACCUCACAAAGCACGUCCCACUAUCACAGUAAUGUAUUGCUAUCCUUAUCUUGCAGGCAAAGGAUCCAAGCCUAAAUUAGGUGAAAUAAUUUACCCCAGACACCCAGUGAGGCAGUGCUGAGCCGGGAAUCAAGCAGUUCUGCUUGGCUCUUGGGCCUGUGCUUUUGGCCACCUCAUUCCAUACACGUGACAUCCAGCAAAGGGACCCCUCGCCUGCCUCAGAAUCUGUGCAAGGUUGGUCUCAGAGCCAAGACUAUAGAGUGGACCAUGACGUUUGCAAAGCUGAGUGAACAGAUGUCAGGGGCCUCUGUCAUGAACUUUGGUGAUGGAUAAAGAAAAGAUUGUGUUCCUUCCUGCAAUACCUGGAAAUACAUUAAUUUAUAUUUAAUGAAUAAACACUGUUUAAAAACCUCCA
rnacentral:lncRNA from 1 species